GUAGCUUAGUUGGUAAUAGCACUUGUCUAGCGAAUAAGGGUCGUGAGUUCAAAUCUCACC
rnacentral:tRNA from 1 species